GGGCUGCGAUAGGUUUUUGUUUUCUUUUGUUUUCAGCAUACCUUUGUGUUCCCCAGUCAGAGGAAGGUGAUUUGUACCUGAUAGAUUCUUGGCAAAUAUUGGUUGAUUUGAACCAAAUUGAUACACCUAAAUUGUAUGGGAAAACUCCAUCAUGUGAACUGUUAAUUUCAUAACAUGAUUUUAACAUCAUUGAGGAGGUCUUCACAUAUCUCAAAUAGCGGUUCUCUGCCUUCAGGACAUGUGAGAAUCACCUGUCAUCUGCUUUAUUUUGUGUAAAUAGUGUGGAAACAUGAUUUUCAGCAUGGCUAGCAAAGCAUGUAUGGACAAGUUUGUAAGAGCGUAUUUAUACACCACCCCAGGCAUGUCUUUGUGGAUCUGAGACUACUUGUGAAUUUGCACAAACCCUACAGCAGAGAACUAUGA
rnacentral:lncRNA from 1 species